AAUAUUGGACAAUGGGCGCAAGCCUGAUCCAGCCAUGCCGCGUGAGUGAUGAAGGCCUUAGGGUUGUAAAGCUCUUUCAGCGGGGAAGAUAAUGACGGUACCCGCAGAAGAAGCCCCGGCUAACUUCGUGCCAGCAGCCGCGGUAAUACGAAGGGGGCAAGCGUUGUUCGGAAUUACUGGGCGUGAAGGGAGCGUAGGCGGACUGUUAAGUCAGGGGUGAAAUCCCGGGGCUCAACCCCGGAACGGCCUUUGAUACUGAUGGUCUCGAGUAUGGAAGAGGUUGGUGGAACUGAGAGUGUAGAGGUGAGAUUCGUAGAUAGUCGCAAGAACGCCAGUGGCGAAGGCAGCCAACUGGUCCAUUACUGACGCUGAGGUGCGAAAGCGUGGGGAGCAAACAGG
rnacentral:rRNA from 1 species